rnacentral:rRNA from 1 species
GUGGGGAAUAUUGCGCAAUGGGGGAAACCCUGACGCAGCAAUACCGCGUGAGUGAAGAAGGUUUUCGGAUCGUAAAACUCUUUUAUUGGGGAAGAAGAAGUGACGGUACCCAAUGAAGAAGUCCCGGCUAACUACGUGCCAGCAGCCGCGGUAAUACGUAGGGGACAAGCGUUGUCCGGAAUCACUGGGCAUAAAGGGCGCGUAGGCGGUUUUAUAAGUCAGAUGUGAAAGGUACCGGCUCAACCGGUGACGUGCAUUUGAAACUGUAAGACUUGAGUACUGGGGAGGCAAGUGGAAUUCCUAGUGUAGCGGUGAAAUGCGUAGAUAUUAGGAGGAACACCGGUGGCGAAGGCGGCUUGCUGGACAGAUACUGACGCUGAGGUGCGAAAGCGUGGGGAGCGAACAGGAUUAGAAACCCGUGUAGUCC